GUGGAGAAGGACAGAGAGGCAGACAGACAAGGAGAGGAACAGACAGACAAGGAGAAAGACAGAUAGAAAAGGAGAGGGACAGAAAGACAGACCGACAUCGAGAGGUACAGACAGACAGACAGACAAGGAGAUGGACAGAAAGACAGACAAGGAGAGAGACAGACAAGGAGAGGGACAGACAGACAAGGGAGGGAACAGACAGACAGACAAGGA